rnacentral:lncRNA from 15 species
AUGAGCUGGAUGACCAGGGGGAGGAGAUAUAGACUGCAAUGGGAACAUGUAUCAUGGGUACGUGUGUGUAAGUGUGUGUGCAUGUGUGUGUAGGCUGUGCCACGUGUGUAAGUGGUAAAUUGAACAAAGCGUAAAAGAGAUGGGGAGAUUGAAAGUGCCCAGCUGAAGUGCUAAAUUUGUCAGCCCACUUUUGAGCCCACUUUCAGAAAAAUCAGGCCUACUUCAAGGAGGGAGGGAAAAAAAUAGUGAAUAGAAAUGAAUAAUAAUUUCCUUCACAGUGAACUGCAAUGGUACAUCUGUAAUGUGUGUGGCUUUGACUGUGUGUGCGUCUGUUGUUCACGUGCCUGUUUGUGUGCAUGGGUUGGUGCAGCUACUUCAAAGAAUGGGGAACCUUGUCACGUUGCUGGUAUUUUCCUAUUGUGUAUGUGUCACGGGGGGAAGUUUGAUUUUAUUUAAGCAUGCUUUUACUUUGAAUUUGCUGUGUUUUUGUCUUAUUUAUUAUUGCAUGCUUUUAUUUUGAAGUGUGUUUGUGUUACGUUGGUUUUACUUCCCCACCGGAGACAUACCUUAAUCAAGCAUAAGGACUUACACCUGGCACCCAGAGAGGGGAGUGACUGUUCUUGGAUAAAAAGGACACUAUGGAAGAUACCCGAGGGCACGAGGGAGGACACAGAGGGCACGAGGGAGGACACGGAGGUCACAACGGGCCGGACAGCAGGAAGCAGACAGAGAGACAGAGCAGAUCAUCGCACUGGAAGAGGUCUGAAGAGACACCGGAGCAAACACCGACCGUUAGCGGCUAUAAUUGGGAGAAGGACAUUGACUGGCCCUGAGUUUCCCUCGACAGGCUGCCGAAGAGCGGAGCCAGGUGAAGAGCAGGUGGUCGCCACCAGAGACCCGCGACUGCCGUUGUUGACCUCCCACUCCAUCCGUGCCACAUUAUUUUAGCUGGGUUUUAGUUGUUUGUGUUCUUUGUUUAGUUUAUUUGAAGGUAGAGCUUUUAGUUGUUUUUACUUAUUUUAAAAUAAAUUGUGUUCAACUGUGUUCCACUGGCUGUACUCAUUGUUUUAAAAAUAACACUGUUUACUGCUCUCCCCCGACAUAAAAGAACCUGUUUACCCUAACUUUAAUUUGGUGAUCCUAAGAGGUCCUAGGCCUCAGUUAAACCUAGGUGGCGUUGUCGGCACUUGUGUUUUAAUUUAUCCACCCUUAGCACGGCUCACAUAUGCAUACUGUACAUCACCCCCUCAUUGGCUGUGAUAGAUGUUGUGAUUGAGUGAUGGACACCUAUUUAAUUGCAACCCGCUGUCUGUUGUCUAUGUACUAGCAAGGUAGGAGGAAGAGGCAAGAGCUAAUGGAUUGAUAUGAAAGCCAGCCAUGAGGACACAUACUGUACUGAACACUUUGCGUGGCUCCUUGUGCAACCUAAUAUGCUGCCUGCUUGUUUAGCUACUAAUUAUUUACACUGAUAUCACUUGGCAUCCGCUGCUGGGACUCUAUGCAUGUUUGUGCAUGUAUGUGUGUGUCCAUGUUUGUAAUUGCGUCUGUGAUUUUUUGUGCACACCAGCUCCCAGUGGCCAUGUGGGUGUGUGGUGGGUAGCUCAGAGUUACAUUAAUAGCCAAAGGGCAGGCAGGCAGGCAGGGAGGGAGGGAGGACAUAGACAGGAAGGGGAAAUACAGUUUGCUGGUCGCCCACCACUUCCUGUGUGUCUCCUACACUCACAGCCCACGGACCAUUGCUGCUUCUAAAACCAGUUUGUUUGCUUGCAGUGCCACAGAGAUAUGAUAGAACCAAAGGUAAACACAAUGACAAAGGGGUGAGGAAUGGCACUAACAAAAUAGCGAUGGGUUUGUCACCAUAGGAAGGUUAUGCAAGUUGCUGGAGAUGACCUGCCCACGCUGCCCUACACUUUCAUUUGCCAAGUGUGAGGCAAGUCAAGUGUUACAAUGACAAAAGCAACAGCAGAUAACAGAGCUCUCUUAAAAUGAUGAGCUGUCUGUCAGCUUCACGCUACCACAACACGAUCAAAGACCAAUAUUAACACUGACAAUAAACAUAAUUCAACCAAGUUUUACCAUCAAUCUGAGAUUGCAGUCAACAAAGAUGACACACAUUCCUAUUCAAAGAAAACAAGGAGGACUGCAGUAUCAAGGCAUGUCCAGCAGAGGUCCUUCUCUCAUUAAGUGUUGUUAGUGCAUGUCCCUAUCUUGAAGUGGAGAACAGGAGUGAAUAGGUGCUGAAGGUGAACCACAACAAUUAAGGUAGUACAAAGUUUCAUUUUAAAUGUUGAGAAUCUAAGUCUUUUGAAUAUGACUAUUUGUUAUACAUUUGAGACCUUUCACCCCUCUCAAGAGACUCACACACACCACCAAACAGUCACCGACCACUGCUGUCAGUUAGGACUGGCUAAUAAGAAGCCUUUGGUUUGCACACAUACUGUGCUCUGGUAAGAGGCAAACCCCCUGCCCUUCUGGGAUCCCACAUCCCCAUUGAACUUUCCACCCACUCACCAAGGAAUGCAGAGAGAGG